CAGCAAGUUUUCUAUUCAAUUUCGGGAAAAGGCUAGAAUAUAUGUUUACGUCACACAUAAUAACAAUGGCAACCGGCAAAAUGUUAACGGUAACAACCACCAUAUUGGCUUAGCGAGUGCAGGAGAGCGAGAGCGAGAGCGAAAGAACGCAACUGUCAUUCACGUGUGACUCCCUGCAUGUAUGUAUGUGUGAAAUUCUGCGGCGGCGUCUUAAACCGAAGUGUGGCAACCUUUCCCAGAAAAAAAUUUCCUAUCUGGCAAGUCGUACAAUUUUCACUUAAAUU